CUCCCGAGUCGUCGAAGAAGAAGAGGAUACAGUUUCGUGCAGAAUAUGGCUACGGUUGGAUCAGUUGUAUACUGUCUUUAAGUUUGGGGUUGAUCGGUGUAUGAAACCCCUCGAAGAGAGUUGGAGGCUUUUGAGUGCCUUUAGAAACAAGGUCUCCGUGCGGUCUGCGAGUCAGUUUACGUCUCACGUCGGACGGAGAAGCAACGUGCCGUGACGCAGCCGGACUUUUCGCCCUGUUCGAGCCACUGUCGCUGAGAUUGAUCAGCGAAAAUACAACGAUGAGAUCGUUCCCUGACCACGAGGCAGCAUUUUUUCUUCGUCUGGUGUCGACGAACGCAACUGCAAUAAUGUUGCAACCGUAGAUUCGAACUUAUAAGGGAGUAGCUGAAGAAAGUCAAAGCCUUACACGGGACUUCGCGCGAAAUCAAGAUCUCGGUUUUAAGGCGGGGGACACGGGGGUAAUGGCGUGUGCAUUAUUCUGAUAAAUCGCCCCCCGGCUGGCGUCAAACCUGACUGCCGGCUGACAGGAACCUUGGUCAAUCGUAUCUACCUCUACGCAAGACGUUCGCAUUCGCGACCGCGGCAGUUAUUCGACGAAAACCCAAGGGAAUUUUCGUUUCCUUCGACCGGAAAUCUAAAUUUUAAAAACGUACCAUUAUUAAACUUUCCUUGGUCGAUAUAUGGUUGCUUGUAUUGUGAAUCAUAGAUGUAUUGACACUAAACUUACCACGACAGGUCAAAUAACCGUUUCCAAACUUUUGUGAACUGUUCUUAUGCAGUCAGUCCCAUAAGUAUUCGUACCCUCCAUGUUUAUUGAAGAAAUUUGCCCAAAUUAAAUUGUAGGUUUGAUAUUUCCAUAUCAAUUUCUCAUUAUGAAUAAUUUAUCGAAGAUAUUAAGCUUACAUUUAAUUUAGACGAAUGUGCUCAACAAAAAUAGUGAGUACAAAUAGUUAUGGAACUGGCUGUAUGUAAUAUAUAAAUUACAAACAAUUGUUUCAUGCAUUAUUCAAUUUAGU